rnacentral:rRNA from 1 species
UACGAAGGGUGCAAGCGUUUACGUCGGAAUUACUGGGCGUAAAGCGUGCGUAGGUGGUUUGGUUAAGUCCUGUUGUGAAAAGCCCCGGGCUCAACCUGGGAAUGGCAAUGGAUACUGGCAGGCUAGAGUGCGGUAGAGGGUAGUGGAAUUCCCGGUGUAAGCGGUGAAAUGCGUAGAUAUCGGGAGGAACACCUGUGGCGAAAGCGGCUCACUGGACCACAACUGACGCUGAUGCGCGAAAGCUAGGGGGAGCAAAACAGG